rnacentral:ncRNA from 1 species
UCAUUUGUCUAACAAAGUUGGAGAUGAGACGUCCAUUGAUACUAAAAACGAACAGAAUCUCAAAUGUGUAGGCUACCAAGUGAGGGUCAAGCGACGUAAAAGACGUUCGCUAGUGGGAUUGCCUCAAAGCAAUCCUGCAACACUGUCAAAUUGCGGGAACUUCCUAAAGCCUCUGCCACCGCGGCCUGCCGAAAGGCAAGGUGCAGCACCAGGGUAAUGACCUCGGGUAUGGUAACAGCGCAGAGGAUGCAACAAUGGAUAAUCCGCAGCCAAGUCCUAAGUCCUAGGAUGCUUCAGAAUCGUCUGCUGAAGCGUUCGCAACGGGAUAUGGAUGCAGUUCAACGACUAGAUGGCAGUGGGUCCGGGGAAAGACAGCUGGCAGCAGCUCCCACAACGGGCUUAAGAUAUAGUCUGACGAUCUGUUGAAAAACAUGC